UCGCGAAAACUUCACAAUGGGGGAAACCCCGAUGAGGGAAUUCCAAGUGCCAGCACAUUGUGUUGGCUGUUCUCUGGUCUAAAAAACCGGAGAAGUAAGGGCCGGGUAAGACGGGUGCCAGCCGCCGCGGUAAUACCCGCGGCCCAAGUGGUGGUCGAUAUUAUUGAGCCUAAAACGUCCGUAGCCGGUCUUGUAAAUCCUUGGGUAAAUCGACCAGCUCAACUGUUCGAAGUCCGGGGAGACUGCAAGACUUGGGAUCGGGAGAGGUGAGAGGUACUUCUGGGGUAGGGGUAAAAUCCUGUAAUCCUAGAAGGACCACCGGUGGCGAAGGCGUCUCACUAGAACGAAUCCGACGGUGAGGGACGAAGCCUUGGGGCGCAAACGG
rnacentral:rRNA from 1 species